rnacentral:rRNA from 1 species
UACGUAGGGACCGAGCGUUGUCCGGAUUCAUUGGGCGUAAAGAGCUCGUAGGCGGCUGCUCAAGUCGAAUGUGAAAUCCCGAGGCUCAACCUCGGGCCUGCAGUGGGUACGGGCAGACUGGAGUGCGGUAGGGGAGAAUGGAAUUCCUGGUGUAGCGGUGGAAUGCGCAGAUAUCAGGAGGAACACCGAUGGCGAAGGCAGUUCUCUGGGCCGUAACUGACGCUGAGGAGCGAAAGCGUGGGGAGCGAACAGG